rnacentral:lncRNA from 1 species
CAAUAUCUCUUGAAGAGCAAACAUUUUUAAUUUGAUUAAAUCCAGUUUGAUGAUUUUUAAAAAAUAGUCUGUGCUCUUUUUGCCUUUAUUUAAGAAGUCUUUGCUAAACCCAAGUCACUAAAAUUUUCUCCAAUGGUUUCUUACAGAAGUUUUAUGGUUUUUGCUCUCAUAUUAGACUGUGAUCUUUUUUAAAUACAUUUUUUUAGUUGUCAAUGGACAUUUAUUUAUUUAUUUAUUUGCAGUGCUUAGAACUGAACCAGUGCCUCACACAUGCUAGGCAAGCACUCUACCACUAAGCAACAACCCCAGCCCUAGACCUGUGAUGUUUUGAAGUUAAUUUUCAAUAUAUUGUAAGGGAAGGGUUAGGAUUUGGAGUUUUGUUGUUAUUGGCAUGUGACUAUCCAAUUGUUCCAGCAUCAUUUGUUGAAAAAGAUAAUCCUUUCCUCAUUUAAUUGUCAUGAUACUUUUGUCAAGAAUCAAUUGACUAUGCAGGGUGUAUUUCUGAACUCUAUUCUGUUCCAUUGAUUUGUUUAUCUGUGUUUAUGCCAAUAUCAUACUGUAUUACUAUCUCUUUAUAAGUAUUGAUAUCAAAUAGUUGUAAACCUUUCAACUUUGUUUCUUUCCAAAGUUGUUUUGGCUAUUCCAAGACUUUAGCAUUUCCAUAUGUAUUUUAUAGAAAUGCAUCAAUUUCUUCACAUAAAAAACCUGCUGAGGCUUUGAGAUUACAUUAAAUCUAUACAUCAAUCUGGGGAUUAUUUAUAUCUUAACAAUAUUUAGC